rfam:Mustela putorius furo unplaced genomic scaffold scaffold00176, whole genome shotgun sequence.
CCAUGGGGGUGGCUGGGGACAGCCCCACGGGGGCGGCUGG